UAGGUGCUCCGAAUCAUCUAGG
rnacentral:miRNA from 1 species